rnacentral:Y_RNA from 1 species
GGUUGGUCCGAGUGCAAUGGUGUCUACAAAUAAUUGAUCACAACCAGGUACAGAUUCCUUUGUUCCUUUUCUACUCCCGCUGCUUCACUUGACCAGUCUUAA